AGAGUACAAAUAUUUUCAAUUAUAUUAGCAAGUGCAUUUUUGUAGUCAAUAGGAAUCCAUGGAACAGAAGAGAAGAAAAUUCUUGUUCCAUUAAACAGUUCUUAUUCACUAAACAUGCCCAUUCCAUAUAUGGUAUCUUUUCUACCAUCUUGUCUUCCAAACUCCCUAAAACCAGAAAGUAAAUUUACCAAGAUAAGUUGCAUAAAUAAUAUUGGAACUAGAUAGUAAUGUCAUCUAAUGACUGACAGUCCCAUUCAUAAGGGCCCACUGUCUGUAAUACUUGCAGGCAAGUAUUGACUGCAGGGGCUGGAAUCCCUGGAAAUCUUCAGAACUUAAAUUGGUGUGCUGGUCUCCUAAUGAGAAAGAAGCAAGAAAUGAUAAUUUUCAGAUAAAUUAUUAGCAUAUUUUUAUAUGCUCGCUGAUAUUCCCAGGGAAUUUCCGCAUGUCACAGGUGCGACCAAAAAAGAAAAAUCACUCCAAUCCUUCUGCUUAAAUUUGAGCCUGUAGAAAUUCUAGUUCUCAAAUCAUUUCUUAGGGUGAUUGAAAUGUAGGACAUUUGUUCCUCAUAAUUGGAUUAUGUUAGAAGAUCAAAAAUAUGAAAAUCAAAAUGAAUAUGAACAAAUUCAAAGGUUGUAGCUGCCAUCACAGAUUCUUGGCCAUGCAAGUUAAAAUGUAUAUAACAGUAAGAGAACAACAUUGGCAGCAAGUCCUACAAGUCAUGGUAAUCCAUAUAUUCAUCAAAACGUGAUAAUAUUUGUAGUUGGAGUUUUAUAAACUUUAGCUUUUAAAAUUUCUAGCACUGUAGAUUUAAAUUUGCAAAAUCUACACUGUAUUAGCUUUUCCUUUUGCAUUUUUCAUGAAGAUUUUUGUGUAGACAAAACAUAGCUUUUAUUUUGAAUUGCAGUUUUAUGUACAUUAUAAUAUUUAAGUCAUUUAAAUAAAGAACAUAUGCGAUUUUAAAUUCUAUUGCACCAAAGGGAUGUGGAAUUUAUUUAAAUUAAUAUUUGAGUUCAAACAUGUUAUGAAUUAAAUUCAUUGGGGGGAUAACAAAGUGAAACAUUUUAGGAAGCAUUCAAAGGAGAAAAAAGUGACAUUGAGCCAUUUCAUAACCACUACUGUAUUUGACAUCAAGAUUGAAGAAGGUAUAAUGUUCUCAAAAUGAUAACACACUUUGAGUCCUAUAGUCUCUCUAAUGUUAAACAAAAAUAACUUCAGCAAAGAUUCUAGAAUUAGACUUCAUACUAGUUCUACCAGUUUCUAAGUGUGUGAUGUAGACCAAGUAAUUUAACUUGCCUGAGAUUUAGUUUCUUCAUUUAUAAAGUAGCACUUAUCUCAGAUUAUUCAUAAGAGGUAACAAACAUAGGCAUUUAAAAUGUGAUUGAUUCAGGCCAAGUGAAAUCUGUCCUCAAUGAAACUGCAUACCUUCUUUUUCUCAUAUUUUCUAACAAGCUUAUUAAUUUUCUUCAUUUUUAUUCUCCGGCACUUCAGAACUUCAUUGUAAUUUUACACACCCAUUGCUUUAAUAGCUGGUAAUGGUUAAUUCCAUCCCUGCUGUCUUCUCUUCUUUAUAUUGUACAACCUUCUUUAUUCACCCUCCAGUGAUUUUAUAAAUUCCUAACUUAUAAAAGUAUACCUGUCAUGUGGUGAGCAUUUAGUAACCACUAAGUGAAGAAACAAAUAUCAUCAUUAUUUUUAAGUCCAGUGCAGGAUUAUGCCUUUUAAUAUCUCUUAAACCUAAAUAUUUAUGAUCAAAAAAGUGUAUUCAUUGAAGAAAUUUUACAGUAGUACCCUAAAUUAUUCCUAGUCAAAAUGCUGUCUGUGGACCAGAAGCAUUAGCAUCACAUGGAAGCUUGUUAUAAAGGCAAUCAGGUCCCACCCUAGAAGUAAUGAAGUGUCAGAAUCUGCAUUUGCACAAAUUUCCCUUAAUGAUUCAUGCACAGUUAACCUUUGAACAACAUGAGUUUGAACUGCAUAGGUCCACUUAUACGUGAUUUUUUUUUUUCAAAAAGCAUAGUACCUAUUAAAAUUUGAGGACUGCUCUAAAACCUUUUCCUCUAAUUAUAGCCUCCAUUAGUAAUCAUUUAAUCCAUUAAUUCAACAGAUAUUUAGUAAGUGCCCAGUUUGGUUUCUUGAAAUUCUUGCAUUCUAAUGGUUUGAGGUUAUGGUCAAUUGCAAACAGGCAAAGUUCAAUUUGGAGAGACUGUACUGAGAUCUUGGAAGAUAAGUUAAUAUCUUAGUUUGGGCAAAGCAAGGGCUCACAGAAGCCAUAAAGAAAACUAAGGAAGGGCAGUAAUGUGUCUUUGGUUCAUAGAAAGUAUGACCCAUUGUACUCACAAGUACACUGAAAGCUUCAGGAACAACUACUAUAAGGAGGUGACACUAAAUAUGAUCUUUGUACUUUUUGCCCUAGAAUAGCUCUGUGAACACCUGAGAAGGAUUUUAAAGAUGCUGAAAUGAAGGUACAUGGAGAGGAAAAUAUUCAUGUUUUAGAGGAUUCAUUAUUUGACCAGAGAGCUCCUUUAUGAAAAUGACUUUGUGUAUUUAGAAUAAUUUUACUUAUAACCUGUGACUAAAUAAUUUUAUUUCAGGAGCUGGUUAUUUGUCAUAGUAUGUAACUUUAAAGAAUGAAACUAUAAAAUUUUCACAAAACUCUAUAUUGCUUGGGGGUUCCUGUUCUGGCUAAGGGAGUUACAAACUUAAUUAGUGUCCUUGAGGAUGCAGGUUCGAUCCCUGGCCUUGCUCAUAAGGUUAAGGAUCAAACAUUGCUGUGAGCUGUGGUGUAGGUCACAGAUGCUGCUUGGAUCCUGCAUUGCUAUGGCUGUGGUGUAGACUGGUAGCUGCAGCUCCAGUUAGACCCCUAGCCUGGGAACUUCCAUAUGCUGCAGGUGUGGCGCUAAAAAAGAAAAAAAGAAUAAGAAAAAAAAGGAAAAAAAAAAAGAAAAAAAAA
rnacentral:lncRNA from 1 species